CCUACGGGUGGCAGCAGUGGGGAAUAUUGGACAAUGGGCGCAAGCCUGACGCAGCAACGCCGCGUGAGGGAAGAAGGCUUUCGGGUUGUAAACUUCUUUUGUCGGGGACGAAGCACGUGACGCUACCUCACCAAUAAGCCACCGCUAACUACGUGCCAGCAGCCGCGGUACUACGUAGGGGGCAAGCGUUAUCCGGAUUGACUGGGUGUAAAGGGCGUGUAGGCGGGACUGCAAGUCAGAUGUGAAAACCACGGGCUCAACCCGGGGACUGCCUUUGAAACUGUAGGUCUGGAGUACAGGAGAGGCAGACGGAAUUCCUAGUGUAGCGGUGAAAUGCGUAGAUAUUAGGAGGAACACCAGUGGCGAAGGCGGUCUGCUGGACAGUAACUGACGCUGAGGCGCGAAAGCGUGGGGAGCAAACAGGAUUAGAUACCCGGGUAGUC
rnacentral:rRNA from 1 species